AGCAGCCGCGGUAAUUCCAGCUCCAAUAGCGUAUAUUAAAGUUGUUGCAGUUAAAAAGCUCGUAGUUGAAUUUCGGGAUCAAUAUUUCGGUCAUGCCGUUGGUAUGCACUGUUAUCAUUGAUUUCUCACCUUCUAAAGAACCGUAAUGCCAUUAAUUUGGUGUUACGGGGAAUUAGGACUGUUACCUUGAAAAAUUAGAGUGUUUAAAGCAGGCUCACGCUUGAAUACAUUAGCAUGGAAUAAUGAAAUAGGACAUCCGAUUCUAUUUUGUUGGUUUCUAGGAUCGAUGUAAUGAUUAAUAGGGAUAGUUGGGGGCAUUAGUAUUCAAUUGUCAGAGGUGAAAUUCUUGGAUUUAUUGAAGACUAACUACUGCGAAAGCAUUUGCCAAGGAUGUUUUCAUUAAUCAAGAACGAAAGUUAGGGGAUCGAAGACGAUCAGAUACCGUCGUAGUCUUAACCAUAAACUAUGCCGACUAGGAAUCGGAUGAUGUUAAUUUUUAA
rnacentral:rRNA from 1 species